rnacentral:rRNA from 1 species
GACGAACGCUGGCGGCGUGCUUAACACAUGCAAGUCGAACGGAAAGGCCCUGCUUUUGUGGGGUGCUUGAGUGGCGAACGGGUGAGUAACACGUGAGUAACCUGCCCUUGACUUUGGGAUAACUUCAGGAAACUGGGGCUAAUACCGGAUAGGAGCUCCUGCUGCAUGGUGGGGGCUGGAAAGUUUCGGCGGUUGGGGAUGGACUCGCGGCUUAUCAGCUUGUUGGUGGGGUAGUGGCUUACCAAGGCUUUGACGGGUAGCCGGCCUGAGAGGGUGACCGGCCACAUUGGGACUGAGAUACGGCCCAGACUCCUACGGGAGGCAGCAGUGGGGAAUAUUGCACAAUGGGCGGAAGCCUGAUGCAGCAACGCCGCGUGCGGGAUGACGGCCUUCGGGUUGUAAACCGCUUUCGCCUGUGACGAAGCGUGGGUGACGGUAAUGGGUAAAGAAGCACCGGCUAACUACGUG